UACGGAGGGUGCAAGCGUUAAUCGGAAUUACUGGGCGUAAAGCGUGCGUAGGCGGUUCGUUAAGUCUGUUGUGAAAGCCCCGGGCUCAACCUGGGAAUGGCAAUGGAUACUGGCGAGCUAGAGUGUGUCAGAGGAUGGUGGAAUUCCCGGUGUAGCGGUGAAAUGCGUAGAGAUCGGGAGGAACAUCAGUGGCGAAGGCGGCGACCUGGUCCAUUACUGACGCUGAGGCGCGACAGCGUGGGGAGCAAACAGG
rnacentral:rRNA from 1 species